GACGAACGCUGGCGGCGUGCUUAACACAUGCAAGUCGAACGGAAAGGCCCUGCUUUUGUGGGGUGCUCGAGUGGCGAACGGGUGAGUAACACGUGAGUAACCUGCCCUUGACUUUGGGAUAACUUCAGGAAACUGGGGCUAAUACCGGAUAGGAGCUCCUGCUGCAUGGUGGGGGUUGGAAAGUUUCGGCGGUUGGGGAUGGACUCGCGGCUUAUCAGCUUGUUGGUGGGGUAGUGGCUUACCAAGGCUUUGACGGGUAGCCGGCCUGAGAGGGUGACCGGCCACAUUGGGACUGAGAUACGGCCCAGACUCCUACGGGAGGCAGCACUGGGGAAUAUUGCACAAUGGGCGGAAGCCUGAUGCAGCAACGCCGCGUGCGGGAUGACGGCCUUCGGGUUGUAAACCGCUUUCGCCUGUGACGAAGCGUGAGUGACGGUAAUGGGUAAAGAAGCACCGGCUAACUACGUG
rnacentral:rRNA from 1 species